rnacentral:rRNA from 1 species
UACGUACCGUCCAACCGUUAUUCGGAAUUACUGGGCUUAAAGGGUACGUAGGCGGCGCUGUUAGUCGGGUGUGAAAUCCCUCGGCUCAACCGAGGAAUUGCGCCCGAUACUGCAGUGCUUGAGGGAGACAGAGGUAAGCGGAACUGAUGGUGGAGCGGUGAAAUGCGUUGAUAUCAUCAGGAACACCAGUGGCGAAAGCGGCUUACUGGGUCUCUUCUGACGCUGAGGUACGAAAGCUAGGGGAGCGAAGGGG